rnacentral:rRNA from 1 species
UACAGAGGUGGCAAGCGUUGUUCGGAAUUAUUGGGCGUAAAGGGCGCGUAGGCGGCCUUCUAAGUCGGACGUGAAAGCCUCAGGCUUAACCUGGGAACUGCGUCCGAUACUGGGAGGCUUGGAUUCGGGAGAGGGAUGUGGAAUUCCAGGUGUAGCGGUGAAAUGCGUAGAUAUCUGGAGGAACACCGGUGGCGAAGGCGGCAUCCUGGACCGAGAUCGACGCUGAGGCGCGAAAGCUAGGGGAGCAAACGGG